rnacentral:rRNA from 1 species
AGCGAACGCUGGCGGCAGGCCUAACACAUGCAAGUCGAACGGAUCCUUCGGGAUUAGUGGCGGACGGGUGAGUAACACGUGGGAACGUGCCCUUUGGUUCGGAACAACUCAGGGAAACUUGAGCUAAUACUGGAUGUGCCCUUCGGGGGAAAGAUUUAUCGCCAUUGGAGCGGCCCGCGUCUGAUUAGCUAGUUGGUGAGGUAAAGGCUCACCAAGGCGACGAUCAGUAGCUGGUCUGAGAGGAUGAUCAGCCACAUUGGGACUGAGACACGGCCCAAACUCCUACGGGAGGCAGCAGUGGGGAAUCUUGCGCAAUGGGCGAAAGCCUGACGCAGCCAUGCCGCGUGAAUGAUGAAGGUCUUAGGGUUGUAAAAUUCUUUCACCGGGGACGAUAAUGACGGUACCCGGAGAAGAAGCCCCGGCUAACUUCGUGCCAGCCGCCGCAGUAA